CCCCUCUCACAGUCGCACCUGUAGAAUUUCCUGUACUCUACCUGCCUCGACUAUGGGAGGAAGAGUCAAGCAGAGGCAUAUCCAUUCCAUUCCUAGCUUGGGCAGUGGCUAGCGAGUGGAAGACAAUCUGCUACAAGU